GGAGCUUGCUCCCUGAUGUUAGCGGCGGACGGGUGAGUAACACGUGGGUAACCUGCCUGUAAGACUGGGAUAACUCCGGGAAACCGGGGCUAAUACCGGAUGGUUGUCUGAACCGCAUGGUUCAGACAUAAAAGGUGGCUUCGGCUACCACUUACAGAUGGACCCGCGGCGCAUUAGCUAGUUGGUGAGGUAACGGCUCACCAAGGCGACGAUGCGUAGCCGACCUGAGAGGGUGAUCGGCCACACUGGGACUGAGACACGGCCCAGACUCCUACGGGAGGCAGCAGUAGGGAAUCUUCCGCAAUGGACGAAAGUCUGACGGAGCAACGCCGCGUGAGUGAUGAAGGUUUUCGGAUCGUAAAGCUCUGUUGUUAGGGAAGAACAAGUGCCGUUCAAAUAGGGCGGCACCUUGACGGUACCUAACCAGAAAGCCACGGCUAACUACGUGCCAGCAGCCGCGGUAAUACGUAGGUGGCAAGCGUUGUCCGGAAUUAUUGGGCGUAAAGGGCUCGCAGGCGGUUUCUUAAGUCUGAUGUGAAAGCCCCCGGCUCAACCGGGGAGGGUCAUUGGAAACUGGGGAACUUGAGUGCAGAAGAGGAGAGUGGAAUUCCACGUGUAGCGGUGAAAUGCGUAGAGAUGUGGAGGAACACCAGUGGCGAAGGCGACUCUCUGGUCUGUAACUGACGCUGAGGAGCGAAAGCGUGGGGAGCGAACAGGAUUAGAUACCCUGGUAGUCCACGCCGUAAACGAUGAGUGCUAAGUGUUAGGGGGUUUCCGCCCCUUAGUGCUGCAGCUAACGCAUUAAGCACUCCGCCUGGGGAGUACGGUCGCAAGACUGAAACUCAAAGGAAUUGACGGGGGCCCGCACAAGCGGUGGAGCAUGUGGUUUAAUUCGAAGCAACGCGAAGAACCUUACCAGGUCUUGACAUCCUCUGACAAUCCUAGAGAUAGGACGUCCCCUUCGGGGGCAGAGUGACAGGUGGUGCAUGGUUGUCGUCAGCUCGUGUCGUGAGAUGUUGGGUUAAGUCCCGCAACGAGCGCAACCCUUGAUCUUAGUUGCCAGCAUUCAGUUGGGCACUCUAAGGUGACUGCCGGUGACAAACCGGAGGAAGGUGGGGAUGACGUCAAAUCAUCAUGCCCCUUAUGACCUGGGCUACACACGUGCUACAAUGGACAGAACAAAGGGCAGCGAAACCGCGAGGUUAAGCCAAUCCCACAAAUCUGUUCUCAGUUCGGAUCGCAGUCUGCAACUCGACUGCGUGAAGCUGGAAUCG
rnacentral:rRNA from 1 species